rnacentral:rRNA from 1 species
GUGUCAGCAGCCGCGGUAAUACGUAGGGUGCAAGCGUUGUCCGGAAUUAUUGGGCGUAAAGAGCUCGUAGGCGGUCUGUCGCGUCGGCUGUGAAAACUCGGGGCUCAACUCCGAGCCUGCAGUCGAUACGGGCAGACUAGAGUGCGGUAGGGGAGACUGGAAUUCCUGGUGUAGCGGUGAAAUGCGCAGAUAUCAGGAGGAACACCGGUGGCGAAGGCGGGUCUCUGGGCCGUAACUGACGCUGAGGAGCGAAAGCGUGGGGAGCAAACAGGAUUAGAUACCCUGGUAGUCCACGCCGUAAACGGUGGGUGCUAGGUGUAGGCGGUAUUCCACGCCGUCUGUGCCGCAGCUAACGCAUUAAGCACCCCGCCUGGGGAGUACGGCCGCAAGGCUAAA